rnacentral:rRNA from 1 species
GACGAACGCUGGCGGCGUGCCUAAUACAUGCAAGUCGAGCGAACAGAUGAAGUGCUUGCACUUCUGACGUUAGCGGCGAACGGGUGAGUAACACGUAAGGAAUCUACCUAUAAGCGGGGGAUAACAUUCGGAAACGGGUGCUAAUACCGCAUAAUAUCUUCUUCCGCAUGGAAGAAGAUUGAAAGACGGCUCUGCUGUCACUUAUAGAUGACCUUGCGGUGCAUUAGUUAGUUGGUGGGGUAACGGCCUACCAAGACGAUGAUGCAUAGCCGACCUGAGAGGGUGAUCGGCCACAUUGGGACUGAGACACGGCCCAAACUCCUACGGGAGGCAGCAGUAGGGAAUCUUCCGCAAUGGGCGAAAGCCUGACGGAGCAAUGCCGCGUGAGUGAAGAAGGCCUUCGGGUCGUAAAACUCUGUUAUAAGAGAAGAACAAAUUGUAGAGUAACUGCUACAGUCUUGACGGUAUCUUAUCAGAAAGCCACGGCUAACUACGUGCCAGCAGCCGCGGUAA